rnacentral:lncRNA from 1 species
CAAGAAAAUUGUCUCUGGAGUUCAUCCAAAAAGAUAGUUUUAUACCUCAUUUUAGCAGUGACUUAAAGUUAUACAGGCAUUACCAUUAAGACUGAAUCUUUUAAUCUUUAUACUGUCACCCACAAUACAUAUAAAUUAACCACAAGCCUGCUUUUUCCAGUAACAAAUAGCAUAUCAAUAAUUAAGGAACACACAAAAGCAUCAAGGACCAAAUGACUACUAAAGAAUUUCCAACUUACUCAGAAUACCUUUUUAAAAAUCCUUUUAUUGUGGUGGGAAAAAGAAGAAAAAAAAAGGAGAAAAGGGUGGGGGGUUUGUGUCAGAUACUUACGCUGACUUUGGGCUGAGAAGGCAAAGUCCCACUUGCCUUCAUUGUGCUCACUAGCUUGUUGAACGCAGUCAUGUCUCCGUCUUUCUUCAGUUGUCGAUUGUUGGUUACGGCACUCAAGGUCUCUUCUAGGUGUUCUGCCAUGAAGGGAGUUGAAUUCUUCACUUGCUGGUCAACCUUCAAGCCCUUCAGACCUGCUUCUACCUCCUCCACUGAAAGCACAACCCCUGAAUGUGCUGAGAAGUUGAGAACGUCCAGGUUAAAUCAAGCAAAGAGAUAUCUGUCCCGCAGGUCCUUAUCGCUAAGACGGUGAUCCUUCUCAAAGGUCCGGGCAGAGA